GAUGAACGCUAGCUACAGGCUUAACACAUGCAAGUCGAGGGGUAACAAGAGAAAAGCUUGCUUUUCUUGUUGACGACCGGCGCACGGGUGAGUAACGCGUAUCCAACCUGCCUAUAACUAGGGAAUAACCUUGCGAAAGUAAGACUAAUACCCUAUGAUUUCCUUUGAUGACAUCAGAUUAGGAAUAAAGAUUUAUCGGUUAUAGAUGGGGAUGCGUCUGAUUAGCUUGUUGGAGGGGUAACGGCCCACCAAGGCAACGAUCAGUAGGGGUUCUGAGAGGAAGGUCCCCCACAUUGGAACUGAGAAACGAUCCAAACUCCUACGGGAGGCAGCAGUGAGGAAUAUUGGUCAAUGGGCGGAAGCCUGAACCAGCCAAGUAGCGUGCAGGAUGACGGCCCUAUGGGUUGUAAACUGCUUUUAUACAGGAAUAAAGUUAGCCACGUGUGGUUAUUUGUAGGUACUGUAUGAAUAAGGACCGGCUAAUUCCGUGCCAGCCGCCGCGGUAA
rnacentral:rRNA from 1 species